UACCGUGGAACUCUCUAACUAGAAGAUGAUACUGUAUCAGUUCUUUCCUAUAUAAUAUAAUGAACAUGUUCCUUUAAUUGCACAAACUCUGCAGAUUCUAAUAAUUUUGCAGAGGGUAUUAAGACUUCCGUCGUCUUCUUCAAAGAUGUGGGCCAUUCGUUGUCUUCCUCUGAGGAAUCGAGUGCUGAGAGCUUAUUGCUCCAAAGCUACUUGGGUGGUGGAAGAUGAUUCUGGAACUUCCAAAAGAAUGUCUAAUACACUUCCCUCAUUACACAUGUCUUCAAAUGUUGAGACAAGUCACGGGAAGAUAAAACUGGACUUGGCAGGAGCAGGGUAUGUUUAUAUAGAAUAAAUGUACAUAACAAUUAAACUACUUAUUAAUAGAAUAAGAAAAUAGAUACUUAUUCAGAUAUAAAUAAUAAAGAAUAUAAUGAUUGAAUAAGAAAUUAAUUAUUAUUUCUUAAAAAAUAAAUAGAUCCUGAAAAUCUUUAUUAAUUUGUUUUG